rnacentral:rRNA from 1 species
AUUGAACGCUGGCGGCAGGCCUAACACAUGCAAGUCGAGCGGAUGAAGGGAGCUUGCUCCUGGAUUCAGCGGCGGACGGGUGAGUAAUGCCUAGGAAUCUGCCUGGUAGUGGGGGAUAACGUCCGGAAACGGGCGCUAAUACCGCAUACGUCCUGAGGGAGAAAGUGGGGGAUCUUCGGACCUCACGCUAUCAGAUGAGCCUAGGUCGGAUUAGCUAGUUGGUGGGGUAAAGGCCUACCAAGGCGACGAUCCGUAACUGGUCUGAGAGGAUGAUCAGUCACACUGGAACUGAGAAACGGUCCAGACUCCUACGGGAGGCAGCAGUGGGGAAUAUUGGACAAUGGGCGAAAGCCUGAUCCAGCCAUGCCGCGUGUGUGAAGAAGGUCUUCGGAUUGUAAAGCACUUUAAGUUGGGAGGAAGGGCAGUAAGUUAAUACCUUGCUGUUUUGACGCUACCAACAGAAUAAGCACCGGCUAACUUCGUG